rnacentral:misc_RNA from 1 species
AUAUAUACAAAAUCAUCUAAUUCUCAUAAGUUUUCUCUCUCCCUUUUCUUUAUUUUUUUUUUAUGUACACACAUCACCCACCUCAGGAAAAAAAAAAAAAAAAGCAAAAAAAAAAANNNNNNNNNNAAAAAGGUAAAAUUGUCUAUCUUUUUUCUUUUUCUUGGGUUGGAAAUUAUUGAAUCUAAAAUCUAAGAAUACUCGCCGUAGAACUCAGGAAUCCCAGAAGCAGCCCAUAGCCUCUCAUUGAAAGCCGCCUGCAUAUCUUCAGGAAUCACGGGUGUACGGCAAAGUGGGCAAGUUUUCUGGUCGUAACCAACCCAUCGGUCCAAGCAGGUCCGGUGGAAGAUAUGGCGGCAGUUGG